UACGAAGGGGGCUAGCGUUGUUCGGAAUUACUGGGCGUAAAGGGCGCGUAGGCGGUGUGUCAAGUCAGGCGUGAAAGCCCCGGGCUCAACCUGGGAACCGCGCUUGAGACUGGCACGCUAGAGUUCGGGAGAGGAUGGUGGAAUUCCCAGUGUAGAGGUGAAAUUCGUAGAUAUUGGGAAGAACACCGAUGGCGAAGGCAGCCAUCUGGACCGACACUGACGCUGAAGGCGCGGAAAGCGUGGGGAGCAAACAGG
rnacentral:rRNA from 1 species